rnacentral:rRNA from 1 species
AACGAACGCUGGCGGCGCGCCUAAUACAUGCAAGUCGAGCGAGAAGGUGUAGCAAUACACUUGUAAAGCGGCGAACGGGUGAGGAAUACAUGGGUAAUCUACCAUCGAGUGGGGAAUAACCAACCGAAAGGUUGGCUAAUACCGCGUACGCCUCCGGAUCUUCGGGUUCGGAGGGAAAGCUGCACUGUGAGUGUAGCGCUCUUUGAUGAGCUCAUGUCCUAUCAGCUUGUUGGUAGGGUAACGGCCUACCAAGGCUUUGACGGGUAGCUGGUCUGAGAGGACGAUCAGCCACACUGGCACUGCGACACGGGCCAGACUCCUACGGGAGGCAGCAGUAAGGAAUAUUGCGCAAUGGGCGAAAGCCUGACGCAGCGACGCCGCGUGGGGGAUGAAGGUCUUCGGAUUGUAAACCCCUUUCGGGAGGGAAGGUGGAGCGAGCAAUCGUUCGGACGGUACCUCCAGAAGCAGCCACGGCCAACUUCGUGCCAGCAGCC